rnacentral:lncRNA from 1 species
CCCUGUCAUUUUAUACAGGUCUGUUUAGACUGGAAGCUGGUUAAUGGGCAACCUUUGCCCUUUGGCUAAAAGCUGUGACCAGGAAAUCCCACCUCCCCUUAAUGAGGGUUUUGUUCAGGUUCCUGGAGUACCCAACACACAGCUUCUGCUCUGCAAAGGCAUUGUCUGCCAGGCUUAGAAGAAGAAAAAGGAAAAGAAAAACAAACAAAGACAAAGAAAAAAACCUUCCGCUGUUGAAUUAAAACAGCCAACUCCAGCCCCCAAGCAAGUUUCAGUCUCUAUUAAGCCAACAAAAGGCCCUAAAUGCCAGGCCAGGGACACAAAGAGCGAGGAGAAAGGGGGAGCCACGGGAGGAGGAGAGCGUGAGGAAGAGAAGGAAACUCAAUUAACUGUUGCAGGCUUCUGGGGCAGACGGAGUUCAGAGAGCAAGCGGCACUCUGAUGACAAGAGAGGCAGCACCCAGGC